rnacentral:lncRNA from 1 species
AAUACAAUUUGUCGCAUCUUGAAUUUCUCAGCAUAUAAAGAUUGCUUUUCAUAGAACUCGAUCCUAGAAGGGAGGAAUAAUGUCAUGGACAUACAUAAGUACUCUAGUAAAUACUUAUAUGAUUAGGUAGGAAUAAAUAAAAGUAGAUAAAAGUAGAUUAAUUUCAAAAAACCUUCAUCAUUUGAAUUAUUCAAGACUUUUUAAUUCUCUUCAAUGACUUAAAAAUAUCUUAAAGAUUUUCUUGCUUCGAGAUUCAUGUCCUUGACAAGUGCUUAUAUAAAAAAUAGACUUAAAAUUUAUAUAAAUUAAUAGAAUAAUUUGAAUAAUAAAUUAAAAUUAAAUUUAUAAGUACAAAAUAUAUAUGUAUAUCAAGUAAUUUAAGUAAUUUGUAGAUAGUUUUUUCUACAAUAGAAAUAAUUAAAGGUGAAAUAGAAGAUUUAUCAAAUAAACAAAUUAUCAACUUAAAAUAAAUUAAUUAUUUUUCAUAUAGAUUAAAUUAAAAAAAUAUGAUUCUCAAGAGACAUAUUUAUAAUUAAAAUAAAUUUUUGUUUUAGAAAUCAAGCACAUGAGAUUCAGAAAAUUAGUUCAUAACCAAGGAGCAUGUUUUAAAGGAUUAUGUUUGGUACCAAUCAGUUCAAAAGGUAUAUGAAUAAAUACUAGCUCUAAAUACAAAUAGCCUUAAACACAGCAUUUGGACGGUUUGAGGCAGUUUGUGUGGAGAUAUGUACAACGAAGAUUUCUUAAAUUAUGUAAGAUGGUUUUCAGAGAAAUCAAUUCUACAUUAAAUUCGUAUCUAGAAUCAUAUCAACCGGAAAUGUAUCAUAUAUCUCGAUUGGAACAUCAUACAAGAGAUGACUAUUCAAGGUCUUCAACAUUCAUAAAGGUAUAAUUUGAAUUGAUUCCGCCGCAGCAUAGAUGACGUAGAUUUCUGAGACUUAACAGCAUGUAUGCAGAACCUGAAUCGGAAGGUAUACUACGGUUCAUUACAAUACAGGCGAAGUGAUAUCAAAGUCAGUCAUAAUGCAAACACGCAGAAAAGAGAUGAAAUAAAGAGCCUACGCCUAGACGGAUCAACUUGACAUUGCUCAGAAAGAAAAACCAACGCAAUAUCCACAUCCAGCUAACCCUUGCCUCGGCGAUACAGUGGCACAAGUGUUGGAACCAUACAGAGAUCCUAGCUCAUCAAAGCAUCGCCAGAUCACGGCGAGGUUCACAUCAAUCUAUCCGCCACCUCAGCGCAUGAUAAAGCCACUGCUCUGGAGUUACAAGGUCCAGCCGCUCACAUACUCUUCUUCAAAGGUGGGGCGUAUUGAAAUACAAGAACAACAAACCGACCGAAGUUAUCAAGUGUUAAGUCAAGUUUGUGUUCAAGAUGCAUCCAACAGCAAAAAAAAAAAAAAAAAAAAAAAAACGACAAUCUCUAAGAAUAAUCAGCUAAAAGACAACGUGCGAAAAAUAUACAAUGCUACUCUACCGCUGAGAACACAAUAUGUGGGAACAUUCCAGCAAACAAUACACGACAAAGCCACAAUUGAUGUGCGCAGCAACGGACUGCAU